rnacentral:rRNA from 1 species
GACGAACGCUGGCGGCGUGCUUAACACAUGCAAGUCGAGCGGAAAGGCCCCUUCGGGGGUACUCGAGCGGCGAACGGGUGAGUAACACGUGGGUAAUCAACCCCUGACAUCGGGAUACCCCGGGGAAACCCGGAUCAAUACCGGAUAAGGUGCGGAGGCGCAGGCCGCCGUACCAAAGGUAGCUUCGGCUUCCGGUCAGGGACGAGCCCGCGGCCCAUUAGCUUGUUGGUGGGGUAACGGCCCACCAAGGUGACGAUGGGUAGCUGGUCUGAGAGGACGAUCAGCCACACUGGGACUGAGACACGGCCCAGACUCCUACGGGAGGCAGCAGUGGGGAAUCUUGCGCAAUGGGCGGAAGCCUGACGCAGCAACGCCGCGUGCGGGAAGAAGGCCCUAGGGUCGUAAACCGCUUUCAGGGGGGACGAAGCUUCCGGGGUUAAUAGCCUACGGGGUGACGGUACUCCCAGAAGAAGGUCCGGCUAACUACGUGCCAGCAGCCGCCGUAA